rnacentral:rRNA from 1 species
AUGAAUAAGGACCGGCUAAUUCCGUGCCAGCAGCCGCGGUAAUACGGAAGGUCCGGGCGUUAUCCGGAUUUAUUGGGUUUAAAGGGAGCGUAGGCCGGAGAUUAAGCGUGUUGUGAAAUGUAGACGCUCAACGUCUGCACUGCAGCGCGAACUGGUUUCCUUGAGUACGCACAAAGUGGGCGGAAUUCGUGGUGUAGCGGUGAAAUGCUUAGAUAUCACGAAGAACUCCGAUUGCGAAGGCAGCUCACUGGAGCGCAACUGACGCUGAAGCUCGAAAGUGCGGGUAUCGAACAGGAUUAGAUACCCUGGUAGUCCGCACGGUAAACGAUGGAUGCCCGCUGUUGGUCUGAAUAGGUCAGCGGCCAAGCGAAAGCAUUAAGCAUCCCACCUGGGGAGUACGCCGGCAACGGUGAAACUCAAAGGAAUUGACGGGGGCCCGCACAAGCGGAGGAACAUGUGGUUUAAUUCGAUGAUACGCGAGGAACCUUACCCGGGCUUGAACUGCCAGUGACGGUAGCAGAGACGCUACUUUCUUCGGACACUGGUGGAGGUGCUGCAUGGUUGUCGUCAGCUCGUGCCGUGAGGUGUCGGCUUAAGUGCCAUAACGAGCGCAACCCCUCUCCUUAGUUGCCAUCAGGUCAAGCUGGGCACUCUGGGGACACUGCCACCGUAAGGUGUGAGGAAGGUGGGGAUGACGUCAAAUCAGCACGGCCCUUACGUCCGGGGCUACA